rnacentral:rRNA from 1 species
AUACGGAGGAUGCGAGCGUUAUCCGGAUUUAUUGGGUUUAAAGGGUGCGUAGGCGGAUAGAUAAGUCAGUUGUGAAAGUUUAAGGCUCAACCUUGAAAUUGCAGUUGAUACUGGACGUCUUGAGUGCAUUAAAUGUGGGCGGAAUUCGUGGUGUAGCGGUGAAAUGCGUAGAUAUCGGGAGGAACACCAGUGGCGAAGGCGACUUUCUGGACGAUGUCUGACGCUGAGGCGCGAAAGCUAGGGGAGC